rnacentral:lncRNA from 1 species
AAGAACGGGAGGUACCUGGUGGAGCGAGAGGGCUCGUAGCAAGGUAUGGAUACAAGGAGUGGGGAAACAUGGGAUGUUUCGGGAACCCAAUAGUUGUAUCUGGUUCUAUCCUCUGUAAUAUUUUCUAUUGUAUAGUGGAAUUAUUCUCUCUCAUCCGUGGACGUAGGCAUGGUUGGCCGAACCACGUUAAAACCUCGUGUACCGUAUGUGUGAUUGUGUUUAUCUUUGUGUUCUUGAACUAACAUUGUUGGCA